UCUGCGCCUCCGCCGGCUUCCUAGAGCGCCGGGCUCCACCUUCUGCCCCUCACGCUGCCAUGGCGAGCCGAGGGGCUCGGCAGCGUUUGAAAGGCGGCGGGGACCCGGCUCCCGCCACCAAGAAGCUACGGAAGCAGCCGGCCAGCCGGGAGGCGGGCGGCGCGGAGCCCCGGCCCGAGUUAUCUGGGAACAAAGCCAGCCAAGUCUGGGCACCUGACGGGUCUACCGCUUUCAAGUGUCUUCUCUCAGCAAGGUUGUGCGCUGCUCUGCUGAGCAACAUCUCUGACUGUGAUGAAACAUUCAACUAUUGGGAACCAACACACUACCUCAUCUAUGGGAAAGGGUUUCAGACUUGGGAAUAUUCCCCGGUGUAUGCCAUUCGCUCCUAUGCCUAUCUGUUGCUUCAUGCCUGGCCAGCUGCAUUUCAUGCAAGAAUUCUACAGACUAAUAAGAUUCUUGUGUUUUACUUUUUGCGAUGUCUUCUGGCUUUUGUGAGCUGUAUUUGUGAGCUUUACUUUUACAAGGCUGUGUGCAAGAAGUUUGGGCUGCAUGUGAGUCGAAUGAUGCUGGCCUUCUUGGUGCUCAGCACUGGCAUGUUUUGUUCAUCGUCUGCAUUCCUUCCCAGUAGCUUCUGUAUGUACACUACAUUGAUAGCCAUGACUGGAUGGUACAUGGACAAGACUCCCAUUGCUGUGCUGGGAGUAGCAGCUGGGACUAUUGUAGGCUGGCCAUUCAGUGCUGCACUUGGUUUGCCAAUUGCCUUCGAUUUGCUGGUCAUGAAACACAGGUGGAAGAGUUUCCUUCGUUGGUCACUAGUGGCCCUAAUUCUCUUCCUGGUGCCUGUGGUGGUCAUAGACAGCUGCUAUUACGGGAAGUUGGUGAUUGCCCCUCUCAACAUUGUUUUGUAUAAUGUCUUCACUUCUCAUGGACCUGAUCUUUAUGGUACGGAACCCUGGUACUUUUAUUUGAUUAAUGGAUUUCUGAAUUUCAAUGUAGCAUUUGCUUUGGCUCUUCUGGUCUUACCACUGACUUCUCUUAUGGAAUACCUGCUGCAGAGGUUUCAUGUGCAGAAUUUAGGCCAUCCAUAUUGGCUUACCUUGGCUCCAAUGUAUAUUUGGUUUAUAAUUUUCUUCAUCCAGCCUCACAAAGAGGAGCGAUUUCUUUUCCCUGUCUAUCCACUUAUAUGUCUCUGUGGUGCUGUGGCUCUUUCUGCACUUCAGAAAUGCUACCACUUUGUGUUUCAGCAAUAUCGCCUGGAGCACUACACUGUGACAUCAAGUUGGUUGGCGUUAGGCACGGUCUUCCUGUUUGGUCUCCUGUCUUUCUCUCGCUCCGUGGCACUGUUCAGAGGUUAUCAUGGGCCCCUUGAUCUGUAUCCAGAAUUUUACCGAAUUGCCACAGACCCAACCAUCCACACUGUCCCAGAAGGCAGACCUGUGAAUGUUUGUGUGGGAAAAGAAUGGUAUCGAUUUCCCAGCAGCUUCCUUCUUCCAGAGAACUGGCAGCUACAGUUCAUUCCAUCAGAGUUCAGAGGUCAACUACCAAAACCUUUUGCAGAGGGACCACUGGCCACACAGAUUAUUCCUACUGACAUGAAUGACCAGAACCUAGAAGAGCCAUCCAGAUAUAUUGACAUCAAUAAAUGUCAUUAUUUGGUGGAUUUGGAUACCAUGACAGAAACACCGCGGGAACCAAAAUAUGCAUCCAAUAAAGAAGAAUGGAUCAGCCUGGCCUACAGACCAUUCCUUGAUGCUUCUAGGUCUUCAAAGCUGUUUCGGGCAUUCUACAUCCCCUUCCUGUCAGAUCAGUAUACAGUGUAUGUGAACUACACCAUCCUUAAACCUCGGAAAGCAAAGCAAAGUAGGAAGAAGAGUGGAGGUUAGCAACACACUCGUGGCCCCCGUGGACAGCCAUCUUGUUACCUGAUUCCAUUGACCUGACUCCCUCCAUAUCAUCACCUGUAACUUUUGUAAUAAAGUCAUCUGACAGGAACACCGGAAUCCAGACCGGAGAAGAGCAGAACCAACUUACAGGAAGAAUUGAAAAUCCCCGGGCUGGAUGGCUAUGUUAAGCUGUUCUCCACAUUGUGGCCUCACACCCAAGAAGUAGCAAGCCUCUCUCAGGAUGAAGGGGCUUCUCCACCAAAGCUAUCUGGCCGCUCCUAGGAGACCUUCACGCUCCAAUCCUAGUACUGAAAGUGAGCUCAGCUUAGUCGCCAACUGACAUGUCCUUUCCACCUUCAGCAAGACUAACUUCUGUGAAGCACUUUACAGGGAGGACUAUCUCAGGAAAAAGGCGACCACUGGAGGAACUGUGACUUAAUUUUGUUACAGAUGAUGCCUCUGACUUUCAUUUUAUUUCCUUUACAACCACCUUGAACCGUGUUUGUUUUAACUUUAGCAUGCUAUAACUUGAAUUCUGGAUUCUGCUGUACAAAGGUAUCAACAGCCUAAAUUUGUAUAGGGCAACCUUGGAAAGAAUUAAUUCUCGCCAUUGGUAGAGUCGGAUGCCAACACCUUUCUAGGUAAUGCAUUCUGAGGCCAUCUCUGAGGAAGCUAGUGAAAAGGACCAGUGUAUACUUGUAGCACAUGGUUUUUCAUUCUAUUGCAACCUCCCUGGGCACUCUAGUAGGCAGUGAUUAAGACCCAGUUCACACGCAGUAAGUACAUUCUAUUACUUACCUUAACACACAGUAUUUCACAGGUUCCAAGGCAUUUUCACAGCAUCUCAGUGUCCUCAGUCACCAUGAGGGGGAGGCCUGGCAGGUGAAUUUAUUAUCAUUUUACAGACGAGGAAAGUGGUAGAGGUAAAAUGACUUGCCUGGGGAAAUCCAGGUUGCAUGAUUUCCAUGCUUCCCCCCGUUCAACCAUGAUGUGGUAGAGGAUGAGGUUGGCCAAGACCUGGUUGAUAUUACAACUUUCUAUUUUAAGGAAGAGUUUUACUUAUAUUUCUUAGUUCUUUGGCACCUCCAACAUGCCUGUGUGUAAAACCCAUCAGCGCAAUGCUAGGUGGCGGAGCCAGGCCCACAACAGGGCAUACCAUCACACAGGCACUGUUCCUAUUGCCCAUCAGGGGUCGUGGUAUCCGUGCCCUAUUCUACUAAGCUGAUUCUAAUACCUGAAAAUAGGAUGGACCUAUUUUUUAGAAUUUCCAUCUUUAAUUUUUUUAGAGAAAGACUUCCCAGUAGGAAUUAAGAAAUGCUAGUUACCAUAUAACAUGUCUCUUCUUGAGAAUUCCUUGUAAAGGAAUAGCUGAGCUGGUGUUGAAGCAGAGAGAGAAUAGGUCUAGGCAGAAUAGUAAAGGAAGAAAGACCUUUGACAUUUAAGUCUCCAUACUCCACUACUGUCUUCCAGAGCAAAUAGCGGGUAUAUGAUCUGACAACAGAACAGCGCACUGUAAGUGGAGCAUCUUGCCUUAUGUUCGGUAACAGUGCUGUCCUUCACAGUAGCCAAAGUCCUUUCUUUUUUUAGGGAUGUGUAAGAGUCUAAGCUGGGCAUAGUGGCUCAUAGGCCUGUAAUUCUAGCUACUUGGGAGGUAGAGAUGGAGAGCAUCACACUUUAAGGCCAUCCUAG